rnacentral:rRNA from 1 species
UACGGAGGGAGCUAGCGUUGUUCGGAAAUACUGGGCGUAAAGCGCACGUAGGCGGCGCGGCAAGUCAGGGGUGAAAUCCCGGGGCUCAACCCCGGAACUGCCCUUGAAACUGCAGUGCUAGAAUCUUGGAGAGGCGAGUGGAAUUCCGAGUGUAGAGGUGAAAUUCGUAGAUAUUCGGAAGAACACCAGUGGCGAAGGCGACUCGCUGGACAAGUAUUGACGCUGAGGUGCGAAAGCGUGGGGAGCAAACAGG